rnacentral:rRNA from 1 species
GAUGAACGCUGGCGGCGUGCCUAAUACAUGCAAGUCGAGCGAACAGACGAGGAGCUUGCUCCUCUGACGUUAGCGGCGGACGGGUGAGUAACACGUGGAUAACCUACCUAUAAGACUGGGAUAACUUCGGGAAACCGGAGCUAAUACCGGAUAAUAUAUUGAACCGCAUGGUUCAAUAGUGAAAGACGGUUUUGCUGUCACUUAUAGAUGGAUCCGCGCCGCAUUAGCUAGUUGGUAAGGUAACGGCUUACCAAGGCGACGAUGCGUAGCCGACCUGAGAGGGUGAUCGGCCACACUGGAACUGAGACACGGUCCAGACUCCUACGGGAGGCAGCAGUAGGGAAUCUUCCGCAAUGGGCGAAAGCCUGACGGAGCUACGCCGCGUGAGUGAUGAAGGUCUUCGGAUCGUAAAACUCUGUUAUUAGGGAAGAACAAAUGUGUAAGUAACUAUGCACGUCUUGACGGUACCUAAUCAGAAAGCCACGGCUAACUACGUG